GGAGUCUAGCAUGCGCGCGAGUCAUUGGGACCGAACGAAACCUAAAGGCGCAAUGAAAGUGAAGGCUCGCCCAGCGCGAGCCCAGGGAGGAUGGGCCGCGCGAAAUCGCGGCCCCGCACUCCCGGGGCGUCUCGUUCUCAUCGCGAGAAGAGGCGCACCCAGAGCGUGCACGCUGGGACCCGAAAGAUGGUGAACUAUGCCUGGUCAGGACGAAGUCAGGGGAAACCCUGAUGGAGGUCCGUAGCGAUUCUGACGUGCAAAUCGAUCGUCGGAACUGGGUAUAGGGGCGAAAGACUAAUCGAACCAUCUAGUAGCUGGUUCCCUCCGAAGUUUCCCUCAGGAUAGCUGGCGCUCGCUUUUGCGAGUCUCAUCCGGUAAAGCGAAUGAUUAGAGGCAUUGGGGUCGAAACGGCCUCAACCUAUUCUCAAACUUUAAAUGGGUGAGAUCUCCGGCUUGCUUGAACGGUGAAGCCGCGAGAUCGGAUCAGAGUGCCAAGUGGGCCACUUUUGGUAAGCAGAACUGGCGCUGUGGGAUGAACCAAACGCAGAGUUAAAGCGCCUAAAUCGACGCUUAUGGGAUACCAUGAAAGGCGUUGGUAACUUAAGACAGCAGGACGGUGGCCAUGGAA
rnacentral:rRNA from 1 species